rnacentral:rRNA from 1 species
AGUGAACGCUGGCGGCGUGCUUAACACAUGCAAGUCGAACGAGAACGGAAUAUAGCUUGCUAUAUUUGUCAGCUAAGUGGCGCACGGGUGAGUAAUGUAUAGAUAACCUGCCCUUAAGAAAGGAAUAACAGUUGGAAACGACUGCUAAUGCCCUAUAUGCCUUUAAUACAUAAGUAUGCAAGGGAAACGCUUUAGUGCUUAAGGAUGGGUCUGUAUGGUAUCAGCUUGUUGGUGAGGUAAUGGCUCACCAAGGAUAUGACGCCUAACUGGUUUGAGAGGAUGAUCAGUCACACUGGAACUGAGACACGGUCCAGAGUCUUACGGGAGGAAGCAGUGGGGAAUAUUGCACAAUGGACGAAAGUCUGAUGCAGCAACGCCGCGUGGAGGAUGACACAUUUCGGUGCGUAAACUCCUUUUAUAUAGGAAGAUAAUGACGGUACUAUAUGAAUAAGAACCGGCUAACUCCGUGCCAGCAGCCGCGGUAA